rnacentral:ncRNA from 1 species
CUGGUUGAUCCUGCCAGUAGUCAUAUGCUUGUCUCAAAGAUUAAGCCAUGCAUGUGUAUCUAUGAACAAAUUCAGACUGUGAAACUACGAAUGGCUCAUUAAAUCAGUUAUAGGUUGUUUGAUGGUAUUUGCUACUCGGAUAACGUAGUAAUUCUAGAGCUAAUACGUGCAACAAACCCUAACUUCUGGAAGGGAUGCAUUUAUUAGAUAAAAGGUCGACGCGAGUUUUGCCCGUUGCUCUGAUGAUUCAUGAUAACUCGACGGAUCGCACGGCCUUUCUGUCGGCGAUGCAUCAUUCAAAUUUUUGCCCUAUCAACUUUCAAUGGUUGGAUAGUGGCCUACUAUGGUGGCGACGGGUGACGGAGAAUUAGGGUUCAAUUCCGAAGAGGGAGCCUGAGAAACGGCUACCACAUCCAAGGAAGGCAACAGGCGUGCAAAUUACCCAAUCCUGACACAGGGAGGUAGUGACAGUAAAUAAUAAUACUGGGCUCUAUGAGUUGGUAAUUGGAAUGAGUACAAUCUAAAUCCCUUAACGAGGAUCCAUUAGAGGGCAAGUCUAAUGCCAGCAACCGUGGUAAUUCUAGCUCUAAUAGCGUAUAUUUAAGUUGUUGAGUUAAAAAGCUCGUAGUUAGACUUAGGGGUGGGUCGGCCGGUCCACCUCACGGUGAGCACUGAUCUGCUCGUCCCUACUUUCGGCGAUGCUCUCCUAGCCUUAAUUGGCUGGGUCGUUCCUCUGGUGCUGUUACUUUGAAGCAAUUAGAGUUUUCAAAGUAGACCUACAUUUGUAUACAUUAGCAUGGGAUAAAAUUAUAGGAUUUUGAUCCUAUUUUGUUGGCCUUCGGAAUCAGAGUAAUGAUUAACAGGGAUAGUCAGGGGCAUUUGUAUUUCAUAGUCAAAGGUGAAAUUCUUGGAUUUAUGAAAGACGAACAACUGUGAAAGCAUUUGCCAAUAACGUUUUCAUUAAUCAAGAACGAAAGUUGGAGGCUCGAAAACGAUCAGAUGGCGUCCUAGUCUCAACCAUAAACGAUGCCGACCAGGGAUCGACGGAUGUUGCUUUUAGGACUCCGCCGGCACUUUAUGAGAAAUCAAAGUCUUUGGGUUCCG